CAGCUUAGCUCUUAAAAAGCUUUAGUAAACUUCUAGGAAUGAUGCUUUUACAGCUGACAGAUGAGCCACCCUGAUGGGUUAUUAGUCACGCAAGUCUCAAAAUGACAAAACAAAAUGCUUCAAGGCAACAGCUGGAGCUUGAAAUUAAUAAUAAAAAGUAGUUGAGCUGA